GGUUACUGCUAUCGAGGUUCGACUAAGCCAUGCGAGUCGAAUGUAGCAAUACAUGGCGAACUGCUCAGUAACACGUGGACAACCUGCCCUUAGGACGGGGAUAAACCCGGGAAACUGGGUAUAAUACCCGAUAGGUCUCGAUUGCUGGAAUGCAUCGAGAUUUAAAGCUCCGGCGCCUAAGGAUGGGUCUGCGGCCUAUCAGGUAGUAGUGGGUGUAGCGUACCUACUAGCCUACGACGGGUACGGGUUGUGAGAGCAAGAGCCCGGAGAUGGAUUCUGAGACACGAAUCCAGGCCCUACGGGGUGCAGCAGGCGCGAAAACUUUACAAUGCUGGCAACAGCGAUAAGGGAACCUCGAGUGCCAGGUUACAAAUCUGGCUGUCGAGAUGCCUAAAAAGCAUUUCAUAGCAAGGGCCGGGCAAGACCGGUGCCAGCCGCCGCGGUAACACCGGCGGCUCGAGUGGUAACCGUUAUUAUUGGGUCUAAAGGGUCUGUAGCCGGCCGGAUAAGUCUCUUGAGAAAUCUGGCAGCUUAACUGUCAGGCUUUCAGGAGAUACUGUCUGGCUCGAGGCCGGGAGAGGUGAGAGGUACUUCAGGGGUAGGGGUGAAAUCUUGUAAUCCUUGAAGGACCACCAGUGGCGAAGGCGUCUCACCAGAACGGACCUGACGGCAAGGGACGAA
rnacentral:rRNA from 1 species